CCUACGGGAGGCAGCAGUGAGGAAUAUUGGUCAAUGGGCGCGAGCCUGAACCAGCCAAGUAGCGUGAAGGAUGACUGCCCUACGGGUUGUAAACUUCUUUUAUAAAGGAAUACAGUGAGGCACGUGUGCCUUUUUGUAUGUACUUUAUGCAUAAGGAUCGGCUAACUCCGUGCCAGCAGCCGCGGGAAUACGGAGGAUCCGAUCGUUAUCCGGAUUUAUUGGGUUUAAAGGGAGCGUAGAGGGUUUGUUAAGUCAGUUGUGAAAGUUUGCGGCUCAACCGUAAAAUUGCAAUUGAUACUGGCAGCCUUGAGUACAGUUGAGGUAGGCGGAAUUCGUGGUGUAGCGGUGAAAUGCUUAGAUAGCACGAAGAACUCCGAUUGCGAAGGCAGCUUACUAAACUGCCACUGACAUUGAUGCUCGAAAGUGUGGGUAUCAAACAGGAUUAGAUACCCUUGUAGUC
rnacentral:rRNA from 1 species